UGGCGGGUUGUGUAAUGGUAGCACAGCAGCUUUUGGAGCUGCCUGUCGGGGUUCAAAUCCCUGCCCGCCAGCCA
rnacentral:tRNA from 1 species